GCAUGCGUCUCGGUCAAAGCUCGUCGCAAGGCGUGGCUCGACUGGUGCUGCCUAUGUUUGGGUAACGGCCCUCAGGCUUCACGGCUUGGGGAUCACCAGUUCCCAAUCGUUUACUUUGAAAAAAUUAGAGUGUUCAAAGCAGGCGUAACCUUGCCAUUGAAUAUUACAGCAUGGGAUAAUAGAAUAUGACGUUGGUCUUAUUUUGUUGGUUUCUAAGGCUGAUGUA
rnacentral:rRNA from 1 species